rnacentral:rRNA from 1 species
UACAGGGGGUGCAAACGUUGCUCGGAAUCAUUGGGCGUAAAGCGCACGUAGGCGGUCUGUUAUGUCGGAUGUGAAAGCCCUUGGCUCAACUGAGGAAGUGCAUCCGAAACUGGCAGGCUAGAGUACGAAAGAGGAUCGCGGAAUUCCCGGUGUAGAGGUGAAAUUCGUAGAUAUCGGGAGGAACACCGGUGGCGAAGGCGACUACCUGGCCUGUUCUUGACGCUGAGGCGCGAAAGCUAGGGGAGCAAACGGG